GGAAAAUCCAAAUGGGAUAAUAAAUAACGUGAAAAUCAAGAAGUGGAAUUCAGCUUAAAAAGAAUAUAUAAAGUUUAAAUCUGAUUCAAGGCAGAGCCAGAAGAAGCCAAGCAUCGCACCAUGUCGGACAGGUUGGAUGACUAUACUACCCCAGAUCAACAGAAAAAAUUUAAAGCAGAGCCAGAAGAAGCCAAGCAUCGCACCAUGUCGGACAGGUUGGAUGACUAUACUACCCCAGAUCAACAGAACAACUCACCCGCCAAACCUAGCUGCUACACAGAGACCAGAGAAGGCGUUUGGGGGAGAGGAGACGGAUUGCGAUGGGGGUUGGGGGG